rnacentral:rRNA from 1 species
GAUGAACGCUGGCGGCGUGCCUAAUACAUGCAAGUCGAGCGAACAGACGAGGAGCUUGCUCCUCUGACGUUAGCGGCGGACGGGUGAGUAACACGUGGAUAACCUACCUAUAAGACUGGGAUAACUUCGGGAAACCGGAGCUAAUACCGGAUAAUAUAUUGAACCGCAUGGUUCAAUAGUGAAAGACGGUUUUGCUGUCACUUAUAGAUGGAUCCGCGCCGCAUUAGCUAGUUGGUAAGGUAACGGCUUACCAAGGCAACGAUGCGUAGCCGACCUGAGAGGGUGAUCGGCCACACUGGAACUGAGACACGGUCCAGACUCCUACGGGAGGCAGCAGUAGGGAAUCUUCCGCAAUGGGCGAAAGCCUGACGGAGCAACGCCGCGUGAGUGAUGAAGGUCUUCGGAUCGUAAAACUCUGUUAUUAGGGAAGAACAAAUGUGUAAGUAACUAUGCACGUCUUGACGGUAUCUAAUCAGAAAGCCACGGCUAACUACGU